rnacentral:rRNA from 1 species
UACGUAGGGUGCGAGCGUUGUCCGGAUUUAUUGGGCGUAAAGAGCUCGUAGGCGGUGUGUCGCGUCGGCCGUGAAAACCUGGGGCUUAACCCUGGGCGUGCGGUCGAUACGGGCAUCACUGGAGUUCGGCAGGGGAGACUGGAAUUCCUGGUAUAGCGGUGAAAUGCGCAGAUAUCAGGAGGAACACCGGUGGCGAAGGCGGGUCUCUGGGCCGAUACUGACGCUGAGGAGCGAAAGCAUGGGUAGCGAACAGG